UACGGAGGGUGCAAGCGUUGUUCGGAAUCACUGGGCGUAAAGGGCGUGUAGGCGGUCCGCUAAGUCUGAUGUGAAAGCCCGGGGCUCACCCCCGGAAGGGCAUUGGAAACUGGCGGACUCGAGUCUCGGAGAGGAAGGUGGAAUUCCUGGUGUAGCGGUGAAAUGCGUAGAUAUCGAGAGGAACACCUGCGGCGAAGGCGGGUUGCUGGGCCGACACUGACGCUGAUGCGCGAAAGCCAGGGGAGCGAACGGG
rnacentral:rRNA from 1 species